UACGGAGGGAGCUAGCGUUAUUCGGAAUUACUGGGCGUAAAGCGUACGUAGGCGGCUUUGCAAGUUAGAGGUGAAAGCCUGGAGCUCAACUCCAGAACUGCCUUUAAAACUGCAUCGCUUGAAUCCAGGAGAGGUGAGUGGAAUUCCGAGUGUAGAGGUGAAAUUCGUAGAUAUUCGGAAGAACACCAGUGGCGAAGGCGGCUCGCUGGACUGGUAUUGACGCUGAGGUACGAAAGCGUGGGGAGCAAACAGG
rnacentral:rRNA from 1 species